rnacentral:rRNA from 1 species
UACGUAGGGUCCGAGCGUUAAUCGGAAUUACUGGGCGUAAAGGGCGCGUAGGCGGCGACCCAAGUCAGAUGUGAAAGUCCUGGGCUUAACCUGGGGACUGCAUUUGAUACUGGGUUGCUUGAAUUCGGGAGAGGAUAGCGGAAUUCCCAGUGUAGAGGUGAAAUUCGUAGAUAUUGGGAAGAACACCGGUGGCGAAGGCGGCUAUCUGGGCUGACACUGACGCUCAUGCACGAAAGCGUGGGGAGCAAACAGG